rnacentral:rRNA from 1 species
UACGGGGGGGGCAAGCGUUGUUCGGAAUUACUGGGCGUAAAGGGUGCGUAGGCGGUUGUUUAAGUCUGUCGUGAAAUCCCCGGGCUCAACCUGGGAAUGGCGAUGGAAACUGGGCAGCUAGAGUGUGUCAGAGGAUGGUGGAAUUCCCGGUGUAGCGGUGAAAUGCGUAGAGAUCGGGAGGAACAUCAGUGGCGAAGGCGGCCUUCUGGACCAAUACUGACGCUCAUGCACGAAAGCGUGGGGAGCAAACAGG